UCGAGCGAACAGACGAGGAGCUUGCUCCUCUGACGUUAGCGGCGGACGGGUGAGUAACACGUGGAUAACCUACCUAUAAGACUGGGAUAACUUCGGGAAACCGGAGCUAAUACCGGAUAAUAUAUUGAACCGCAUGGUUCAAUAGUGAAAGACGGUUUUGCUGUCACUUAUAGAUGGAUCCGCGCCGCAUUAGCUAGUUGGUAAGGUAACGGCUUACCAAGGCAACGAUGCGUAGCCGACCUGAGAGGGUGAUCGGCCACACUGGAACUGAGACACGGUCCAGACUCCUACGGGAGGCAGCAGUAGGGAAUCUUCCGCAAUGGGCGAAAGCCUGACGGAGCAACGCCGCGUGAGUGAUGAAGGUCUUCGGAUCGUAAAACUCUGUUAUUAGGGAAGAACAAAUGUGUAAGUAACUAUGCACGUCUUGACGGUACCUAAUCAGAAAGCCACGGCUAACUACGUGCCAGCAGCCGCGGUAAUACGUAGGUGGCAAGCGUUAUCCGGAAUUAUUGGGCGUAAAGCGCGCGUAGGCGGUUUUUUAAGUCUGAUGUGAAAGCCCACGGCUCAACCGUGGAGGGUCAUUGGAAACUGAAAAACUUGAGUGCAGAAGAGGAAAGUGGAAUUCCAUGUGUAGCGGUGAAAUGCGCAGAGAUAUGGAGGAACACCAGUGGCGAAGGCGACUUUCUGGUCUGUAACUGACGCUGAUGUGCGAAAGCG
rnacentral:rRNA from 1 species